CAGUAGCCGCGGUAAUACGGAGGAUCCGAGCGUUAUCCGGAAUUAUUGGGUUUAAAGGGUGCGUAGGCGGAUAGAUAAGUCAGUGGUGAAAGACGGUAGCUCAACCAUCGCAGUGCCGUUGAUACUGUUUAUCUUGAAUAUGGAUGAGGUAGGCGGAAUGUGGCAAGUAGCGGUGAAAUGCAUAGAUAUGCCACAGAACACCGAUUGCGAAGGCAGCUUACCAAGGCAAAAUUGACGCUGAGGCACGAAGGCGUGGGGAUCGAACAGGAUUAGAUACCCCCGUAGUCCCUGUCUCUUAUAC
rnacentral:rRNA from 1 species